AGACAAAGCAGCUGACAGACAUGCUUCCCAGCAUCCUAAACCAGCUCGGUGCAGACAGUCUGACUAGCUUAAGGAGACUGGCCGAAGCUCUGCCCAAACAAUCUGUGGAUGGAAAAGCUCCACUUGCUACUGGAGAGGAUGAUGAUGAUGAAGUUCCAGAUCUGGUGGAGAAUUUUGAUGAGGCUUCUAAGAAUGAGGCAAACUGAAUGGAAGCAACUUCUGAAGAAGAUGACAUUUGCAGAAGUUACAGGAGCUGCUAUUUUAUAUCAUGACUGCUUUUUAAAAAUUUUUUUGUUUAUUAUGGAUCUGAUAAAAUCUAGAUCUUUAAUAUUUUUAAGCCCAAGCCCCCGGACAGUGCAGCUCUUUUCAGUUUUCGCUUAUAUCUAAUUCUUUGCGGCAAAUUAAGCUGAAAAAGCCUGGGAAUAAAGUUUGGAAAAGGUUAAUAAAAUUCUUUGCCUAGUA